AGGAACGGCCCUCUCAGCUUUGGGUGUAUGCCCAGAUGAUACCUUCUGCCGCUUCUCCACAAGCCAUGCUGUCUGCUUCCUACUCCGGACUUGUAAUCUUGCUGAUACUGAGAGGGACCCGUGGAGACACGGUGACGCAGACAGAAGGCCCUGUUACCCUCCUUGAGGGGACACUGCUGACCCUGAACUGCACCUACGAGAGCAGCUACUCGGUUUCUGUCUUCUGGUACGUGCAGCACCAAAACAAAGAGCCUGAGCUCCUCCUGAAGAGCUCAUCAGAAAACCAGAGGGCUGAGCGUCACGGUUUUCAGGCCCAUCGGAAGAGCGACAAGUCCUUCCCGCUGGAGAAACGCGGGGCGCAAACGUCGGACUCGGCCGUGUACUACUGCGCGCUGGGAGCACAGUGAGAGCACCUGCAGGGGGAGCCCAGCGCGAACCCAGAGCUGCACAGGCGGGGCCUGGCUGUGCGCAGCCUGCAGCGCAGAGGAUGGUUUCUCUCCAGUUAGUGUUGCGGGCUGGGCACUAGAGGGGAGGGAACAAUGUCCAGCUCGGAUGCCUGCGCGCUCUGAACCCGGUGCUACUUUGAGCGAGGAAUGGAAAGAGGCGAUCUAGGCGAAAACUUAGAUUAUAGAUAUGCCUAUAAAUAGAAUCUUUUAAUACAUGGCCUUUUGUGUCUGGC